UCUCCAGCUGUUUUUGGACUGCAAUUCCCAUCAUCCCUGACCACUGGUCUUGCUAAAUAGGGAUGAUGGGAGUUGUAGUCCAAAAACAGCUGGAGA
rnacentral:miRNA from 1 species